AGAACGAACGCUGGCGGCAUGCCGAACACAUGCAAGUCGAACGAGACCUUCGGGUCUAGUGGCGCACGGGUGCGUAACGCGUGGGAAUCUACCCUUGGGUUCGGAAUAACAGUUGGAAACGACUGCUAAUACCGGAUGAUGUCGCAAGACCAAAGAUUUAUCGCCCAAGGAUGAGCCCGCGUAGGAUUAGCUAGUUGGUGAGGUAAAGGCUCACCAAGGCGACGAUCCUUAGCUGGUCUGAGAGGAUGAUCAGCCACACUGGGACUGGAGACACGGCCCAGACCUCCGUACGGGA
rnacentral:rRNA from 1 species